rnacentral:rRNA from 1 species
GAUGAACGCUGGCGGCGUGCCUAAUACAUGCAAGUCGAACGCUUCACUUCGGUGAAGAGUGGCGAACGGGUGAGUAAUACAUAAGUAACCUGGCAUCUACAGGGGGAUAACUGAUGGAAACGUCAGCUAAGACCGCAUAGGUGUAGAGAUCGCAUGAACUCUAUAUGAAAAGUGCUACGGGACUGGUAGAUGAUGGACUUAUGGCGCAUUAGCUUGUUGGUAGGGUAACGGCCUACCAAGGCGACGAUGCGUAGCCGACCUGAGAGGGUGACCGGCCACAAUGGGACUGGUACACGGCCCAGACUACUACGGGAGGCAGCAGUAGGGAAUUUUCGACAAUGGGGGAAACCCUGACCGAGCAACGCCGCGAGAAGGAAGAAGUAAUUCGUUAUGUAAACUUCUGUCAUAGAGGAAGAACGGUGGAUAUAGGGAAUGAUAUCCAAGUGACGGUACUCUAUAAGAAAGCCACGGCUAACGACG